UACGUAGGGGGCAAGCGUUGUCCGGAUUUACUGGGCGUAAAGAGCGUGUAGGCGGCCGCACAGGUCCGUUGUGAAAACUGACGGCUUAACCUCCAGACGUCGACGGAAACCGUGUGGCUAGAGUCCGGAAGAGGAGAGUGGAAUUCCUGGUGUAGCGGUGAAAUGCGCAGAUAUCAGGAAGAACACCAAUGGCGAAGGCAGCUCUCUGGGACGGUACUGACGCUGAGACGCGAAAGUGUGGGGAGCGAACAGG
rnacentral:rRNA from 1 species